rnacentral:rRNA from 1 species
UACCUUUGGGGCCGUAAAGCGCGCGUAGGCGGCUGGUCAAGUCGGAUGUGAAAGCCCCUGGCUCAACUGGGGGAGGCCAUUCGAUACUGAUCGGCUUGAGGGUGAGAGAGGAAAGUGGAAUUCCCGGUGUAGCGGUGGAAUGCGUAGAGAUCGGGAGGAACACCAGUGGCGAAAGCGGCUUUCUGGCUCACUCCUGACGCUGAGGGCGCGACAGCGUGGGGAGCAAACGGGAUUAGAUACCCCGGUAGUCCACGCUCUAAACGAUGAGGGCUGGGUGUCGGUUCCAUUCGGAAUCGGUGCCGAAGCAAACGCGUUAAGCCCUCCGCCUGGGGACUACGAACGCAAGUUUAAAACUCAAAGGAAUAGACGGGGGCCCGCACAAGCAGCGGAGCGUGUGGUUCAAUUCGAUGCGACACGAAGAACCUUACCAGGGCUUGACAUGUAUGUGGUAGGGAAGUGAAAGCGGACCGACCCGCAAGGGAGCAUACACAGGUGUUGCAUGGCUGUCGUCAGCUCGUGCCGUGAGGUGUUGGGUUAAGUCCCGCAACGAGCGCAACCCUUGUCCUGUGUUGCCAUGGGAGCAAUCCCGGAACUCGCAGGAGACCGCCAGCGAUAAGUUGGAGGAAGGUGGGGAUGACGUCAAGUCCUCAUGGCCUUUAUGUCCAGGGCUACACACGUGCUACAAUGGGCGGUACAAAGCGCAGCAAACCCGCGAGGGGGAGCCAAUCGCAAAAAACCGUUCUCAGUUCGGAUUGCAGGCUGCAACUCGCCUGCAUGAAGCUGGAAUCGCUAGUAAUGGCAGAUCAGCACGCUGCCGUGAAUACGUUCCCGGGCCUUGUACACACCGCCCGUCACAUCACGAAAGUGAAUUGUACUAGAAGCCUGCAGCCGACCCGCAAGGGGGGCAGCGGUCCAAGGUAUGAUUCAUGAUUGGGGUGAAGUCGUAACAAGGUAAC